rnacentral:rRNA from 1 species
AUUGAACGCUGGCGGCAGGCCUAACACAUGCAAGUCGAGCGGCAGCGGAAAGUAGCUUGCUACUUUGCCGGCGAGCGGCGGACGGGUGAGUAAUGUCUGGGAAACUGCCUGAUGGAGGGGGAUAACUACUGGAAACGGUAGCUAAUACCGCAUAACGUCGCAAGACCAAAGAGGGGGACCUUCGGGCCUCUUGCCAUCAGAUGUGCCCAGAUGGGAUUAGCUAGUAGGUGGGGUAACGGCUCACCUAGGCGACGAUCCCUAGCUGGUCUGAGAGGAUGACCAGCCACACUGGAACUGAGACACGGUCCAGACUCCUACGGGAGGCAGCAGUGGGGAAUAUUGCACAAUGGGCGCAAGCCUGAUGCAGCCAUGCCGCGUGUAUGAAUAAGGCCUUCGGGUUGUAAAGUACUUUCAGCGGGGAGGAAGGUGUUGAGGUUAAUAACCUCAGCAAUUGACGUUACCCGCAGAAGAAGCACCGGCUAACUCCGUGCCAGCCGCCGCCGUAACAC